GAUGAACGCUGGCGGCGUGCUUAACACAUGCAAGUCGAACGGUGAACGAGGGAGCUUGCUCCCUCCGGAUCAGUGGCGAACGGGUGAGUAACACGUGAGCAAUCUGCCCUGGACUCUGGGAUAAGCGUUGGAAACGACGUCUAAUACCGGAUACGAGGCGUGGGGGCAUCCCCAACGCCUGGAAAGAACUUCGGUCCAGGAUGAGCUCGCGGCCUAUCGGGUAGUUGGUGAGGUAACGGCUCACCAAGCCUACGACGGGUAGCCGGCCUGAGAGGGUGACCGGCCACACUGGGACUGAGACACGGCCCAGACUCCUACGGGAGGCAGCAGUGGGGAAUAUUGCACAAUGGGCGCAAGCCUGAUGCAGCAACGCCGCGUGAGGGACGACGGCCUUCGGGUUGUAAACCUCUUUUAGCAGGGAAGAAGCGAAAGUGACGGUACCUGCAGAAAAAGCACCGGCUAACUACGUGCCAGCAGCCGCUGUAACAC
rnacentral:rRNA from 1 species